CUAAAUUCCACCCCUAGCCACUCCAUUUGAGCACAACAAGCUCUUGUGCUCGAGAUCGACCGAGGCACCGCCGCUUUAGAGCUCCAUCGAUCUCGGGCUACGGGUCAGCUCCGGCGCUCCUCUCACCUUCUCCGUGACCCUGGCAGCCUCAAGGAGCUUCCCCAUCACCUCCUCGACCUAAUCCACGCCCGUAGCACCUAGUUUAUCGACCUCCCAAAAUAGCUCCGCCGCAGCCACCUCGUCGCCGGUG
rnacentral:lncRNA from 1 species